rnacentral:lncRNA from 1 species
GGGCUCACCACCAUAUUAAAGGGUUACAGCAUUAGGAGGGUUGACAACAGAACCAUCGCACUGAGGGAAAGUGAGUUAGCACGAAGAGAUGAGCAUUUCCCAGAACACAGAAUAAGACACGUUUAACCAACAUCAGUCUGUAACCCCAGCGGACUGUGACAAGCUCUCACCCAUGCCGUGGAGCUCAGAACUAGCAUUGCACGCUUUUACCCCAUCUUUGGUUGCCUCACUCCCUUUGAGUAGUAAGUCCCUCUUCAAAGUAAUAGCCUCUAAACAGCCUGCUGCGCAUGCUCUAGUCCUUUGCUUUCCUCCACGGGUAGGCCACAGGCUUAAGCAGCAGUUGGAAAUGGAACUUGGGCUUUCUGGCUCCUGGUUUAGAAAACUCUUGAAAUGGACAAGAUUUAGUCCUAGGCAAGUUCUGUGUAGUCAGCAAUGGAAGCAAAGGGGGGUGGGGCAAACAUUCCAGUCAGGUGGAAUCUGAGCCCUUGAGAGUGUGAGGCAGGAGGAUCACUAGGCAGGAGUUCUCAACCAGCCUAGACGACAGCUUGGAACCCAUCGCACUCCACAAUGAGGACCCCUCAGCUUCUGAAGAGAGGAGAGCUGCUAGCUCUGAGAAGGGUGUAUAAAAUGGGCUUUUGGUUCCCAGACAUCAGACUUGAAGAGGCAACCGAGUAAGCCAGCUAUAGACUAAGUAAGAUUGUCGUACCUAGCCUACUCCUUGGGAGCUCAUUCUUCAGAGUAUGUUGAUGGAUGACCUAACGCCAUCUCAGAUGCUGGAGCAUUUUGCUGGAAAGGCUCUCAGCACUAGCGAGGCUGCCUCAAUGUAAUCCUGCCUCAGCCUGAGAACUGAUUAUGAGUUACCGUUUGGUACUUUAUGUAUUUUUCUCUCUUCCUAGUAACCAAGGACAAACCUGCUUCCUUCCAGCCACGUGGCAGACACUAGCUGUACUAAAGUAUUAUUACACACCGGUCCCCUGCUGCCAGAACAAAGAACUCAGCCUCGAGAAAUUUCUCCUAUUAUAUUUGGGAUCCAGCAUGUCCCAAGACAGGGACGACUCAAUAAUUUAAUGUGCCUAAUGGCACGGAAUAAAAGGAUUAUUCAC